rnacentral:rRNA from 1 species
UACGAAGGGGGCUAGCGUUGCUCGGAAUCACUGGGCGUAAAGGGUGCGUAGGCGGGUCUUUAAGUCAGGGGUGAAAUCCUGGAGCUCAACUCCAGAACUGCCUUUGAUACUGAGGAUCUUGAGUUCGGGAGAGGUGAGUGGAACUGCGAGUGUAGAGGUGAAAUUCGUAGAUAUUCGCAAGAACACCAGGGGCGAAGGCGGCUCACUGGCCCGAUACUGACGCUGAGGCACGAAGGCCAGGGGAGCAAACGGG